CAGGCAAGUUUAAAACGUGCCCAAGCUCAUAUAGUCAGUGAGUGAUGGAGCUAGGUUAGAAGUCCAGGCCCCGUGCCCAGCCACUAAGCUUUAGUGUGGAAUGUUGACAGUGAUGAUGUAAGAGGAGAUGGCACUGAUAAAGAUGGCCAUGAUGAUGAUGAUGAUGACUCCAAACUCCUUGCUGACUAGUUACUCCAUUCUUAGCCUCUUUCAAAAAGGCAAGCCUCCCCUGGCUGCCCAGCCAUAGGGGAUAGGUACCAGGUGAGCAUGAGCUCUCCUUUACCUGUUCAGUUCCAUUUCCAGGGAACACUGUGCAGUGCCAGCCUGGGAGGCCACCCAUGCAGACUGCAGACGUGUUGAAGGAAGACGCUUCCCAGGGCCAUGUUGUGCAAACUCCGUGGAGCACAGCUCCCCCCUGCCCCGAGGCGUUUUCCUGGCCCAAGGCUCUGGCCAGCCCUUUUCCCUCCAACCUAGCAUGGUUCCCUCUGAGUCAUCUCAUCUGCCCAGCCUGGAAUGUGCUGCCUUGACCUUUCCACCUGCUUAAAGCCUGCUCAUCCCUUAGGGUCCAGCUCAAGUUCAUGUGGUUGGUUGCUUUGUUCUUCCAUUCGUUCAUUCAUCCAUUCAUAUUUAUCAAUCGUGUUUACGAAUCUCCUGCAAUGUGUCAAGUAUGUGUGGUGUAGAGGGAUGAGCACGGGUUGGGGGGGCAGACACAGGUUUGAUCCUGUCCCUUCUCAGCCAUGUGACUGAGCAAGUCGCUCCCCGAGCUUCAGUUUUCCCCCUUGUAAAAUGUGGAUCAUCAGUGAGACUGUGUGAGUUGAGAGAAUCAUAAACACUAACUUUCUCCCACAAGUACCCUCUCUCACGCCCUCUCACACCCUCUCUGCAUCCCGGGCUCCCCCUGGCCGCUGCUUGAGUGGGAACAUGCUAAUUCAGCAAGUCAACCAAUGAUCACCAGGAAGACACCGGGGCCCAGGACUGGUCUUCUCUUGACUAUAGCAUUAAGACCAUGACUAGAUUCAAGGAAAAGUCUCAACAAGAGUUGGUUGCCUCCCCAGAACACUGUGUAGUUCCGUGGAACACAGGCCUUCCUGGGUGUCCAGAUCAGAGUAGGGGAGAGUAUGCAGCCUUUUAGGUCUUAAGGACCAUCCUGCUGAAGACUUGUCAAGAGAACGGAGCACAGCUCCCUCCUGCUCCCAUCUGAGGCAGCCUAGGCAGGGCCAGCACUUGGUGAUGGUGACAUAUCCCAGUCAGGUGCCUGACUGGUGAGGGUGCCUGGUCUCCCUCCAUGUCCCAGUAGAGACUCCAUGUUCAUCCUCAUGGGGACUGGCCCACUGAGGGGAGGGGAGCCUAUCUUGAAGGCCCUGCUUUUGACCUUUUCCUCCUUUUCCUCCUUAGGGGCUGAGUCAACCUCAUGAGAAUGGACAAGCUUCUUAAGACCCUUCCCCAACCACCAAGACUGAAACCCUCCUUCCGCCCGUAUUGGCGGUCAUUCUCACUUACAUUGGACGCACUGGUCGCCCAUUGCCCAAUCUUUCGAAUAUGCCUGGCCUCUCCUGUCUUAGCCAUGCAGGACAAAUGCAAAGGACAGCUAAGAACCUAAUUAAAAAGCCUGCAGGCAAAAGGGCCCUGGAUCGAGAAACCAACAGCUGCUCCCUCUGAGGAUGCACUUAUGUCAUCUGAGAAUUUCUUCCCAAAUGAGACAGGCAGAGACAGGGCUACAAAGGAAGGGAGGAAGAAAAAGGAAAGCUCACGACAAGGAGAGACUAAGAAAGGGAGACAGUAGGCCCUGUGGGUGCAGCCUGAACCGGCCCACAUGGGCUUUGACGACAGAGCCAAGGAUUUGCCUUUUGCUCAAAGGAAGGGAGGGGGCUUCAGGGAUGCUCUGGGGCUGUAGAGUCAGAGCCCAAGCCCCUAGCAAGUCCCCCAGCCUGGGAGGCAGAGUGUGCAGCCAGGGCAACCUCUGGACACCAUCAAAUUGCACACAAAAAUCUGGGGCCUCCAUGGGAACUGCAGAUUCUACAGAGUGUAGGGGUAGGAGGGUGGGGGAUUGAAAUUGUAUUAUUUCUUCCUCCUUCCUUGAAAACUCUGAUCACUAAAAGUAAAAACACACACACUCACUCACCCUUGCACAUACCUCUUCAAUGUCUGGGCUAUCCAUCUUUGUCAAAAAGAACCAAGAUGUUAUCUGUGAGGUAUGUCUGCAUUGAACUUCAGACAAGACCAAACCUACCUCCUCUCUCCUUGCAAAAAAAAAAAAAAAAAA
ensembl:lncRNA